GAAGUAGUAGAACAGAAUCUAGUCAGGGUAGGCUUGAGUAAACAAAUACGUUUUAAGCCUAGACUUAAACACUGAGACUGUGAACUAGCGUAACUCUUCAACUAGCGUAAACUCUUCAAUUAGCGUAACUCUUCAAUUAGCGUAACUCUUCAACUAGCGUAAACUCUUCAGUUAGUGUAACUCUUCAACUAGCGUAAAUUCUUCAACUAGCGUAAACUUCAGGUAGCGUAAACUCUUCAACUAGCGUAAACUUCAGAUAGCGUAAACUCUUCAACUAGCGAAAACUCUUCAACUAGCCAUAACUCUUCAACUAGCAUAAACUUUUCAACUAGCAUUAACUCUUCAACUAACAAACUUUUCAAUUAGCGUAAACUCUUCAACUAGCGUAAACUCUUCAAUUAGCGUAAACUCUUCAACUAGCGAAAACUCCAACUAGCGUAAACUCUUCAACUAGCCGUAACUCUUCAAUUAGCGUAAACUCUUCAACUAGCGAAAACUCCAACUAGCGUAAACUCUUCAACUAGCGUAAACUCUUCAACUAGCAUUAACUGUUCAACUAACGUAAACUUUUCAAUUAGCGUAAACUUUUCAACUAGCAUAAACUCUUCAACUAGCGUAAACUUUUCAAUUAGCGUAAACUUUUCAACUAGCGUAAACUCUUCAACUAGUGUAAACUCUUCAGUUAGCGUAAACUCUUCAAUUAGUGUAACUCAACUAGCGUAAACUCUUCAACUAGCGUAAACUCUCACAGAAUUAAGCUGAAUGUUCAGAUCUAACAAACAUUCUGUGGAGAAAAGCCAAACGUAUAAUCUCAGGUGUGAAAUUGUCUGAUUCAUUUGUUUUGCCCUUUUCACCUGAACUA
ensembl:lncRNA